GCUUACGGCCACACUGCCUGGUUCACGCCCGAUCUCGUUUGAUCUCGGAAGCUAAGAUAGGGUGGGCCUGGUUAGUACUUGGAUGGGAGACCGCCUGGGAAUACCAGGUGUUGUAAGAU
rnacentral:rRNA from 1 species